GGGCGGAUAGCUCAGUUGGUCAGAGCGUCUGGUUUACACCCAGAAGGUCCCAGGUUCGAAUCCUGGUUCGCCCA
rnacentral:tRNA from 1 species